GACGAACCGGACAAACGUUAUUCGGAAUUACUGGGCUUAAAGGGUGUGUAGGCGGUGCUGUAAGUUGGGUGUGAAAUACCUCGGCUCAACCGAGGAAUGGCGCCCAAAACUACAGUGCUAGAGGGAGACAGGGGUAAGCGGAACUGAUGGUGGAGCGGUGAAAUGCGUUGAUAUCAUCAGGAACACCAGUGGCGAAGGCGGCUUACUGGGUCUCUUCUGACGCUGAGACACGAAAGUUAGGGUAGCGAACAGG
rnacentral:misc_RNA from 1 species